rnacentral:lncRNA from 1 species
ACUAAUCUAGGGCUACCAAAACAAUCCGCAGGAUUGGGUGCAAUUUCAGAUAAUUGCAAGACUAAACACCAUGUCUAAUCUAUUAAUUACUACUCUAAUGUUUCAAAGGUUAGAGCACUUGAUGCAAGCGGUAAUCCAAUAAAUAACUUGAAUGUAAAUAAAAGUAAUUAAAGAACUCAGGAAUUAUGAAUUGAAGAAC